rnacentral:rRNA from 1 species
UACGUAGGUGGCAAGCGUUGUCCGGAUUUACUGGGCGUAAAGAGCGCGCAGGCGGUCGAGUAAGUCGAAUGUGAAAGCCCCCGGCUUAACUGGAGGGGUGGCAUUGAUACUGGAAGACUUGAGUGCAGUCGAGGUAGGCGGAAUUGACGGUGUAGCGGUGAAAUGCUUAGAUAUCGUCAAGAACACCGAUAGUGAAGACAGCUUACUAGGCUGCAACUGACGCUGAGGCACGAAAGUGUGGGGAUCAAACAGG